UUGAGAAACACAACGCAAUGUUCAGUUGUAAGUAUUCUGUAAUAAUUUCUUAAGUGCUUGUGAAUGCUCGUUGGAUAAUAAUAAUGUUUAACUUAUAUUCUUCAGAACCCACGGAUGACGAGCUGGAUGGUAUCGUUUUUACACAGUCCAGCUAUGAUGUAACAAGAGGCGUAUUCCUGAACAUUGGAGAGGUCAGCGUUUGUAAUCGUCUGCCUCUGAAAAAAAUCAAAAUUGAGACAGAAACCUGUCUUUAAAAAAGACAAUCCGAUCCCAGCUAAACUUACCCAUGAAGGAGAGGGUGAAGCCAUUCAUGCGCCACAGUCCCCUGAUCGUGCGCCGUAAAAAUUAACAGCUCCGGAAGAGGAGAAUAUAUUGAAUGAUUUAAUCCAGAACCCAAGCCUUGAUAACAUUCAGCAGAACUGUAC